CAAAAAAUAGUUUAAAUUAAAAUAAUAAUUUUGGGGAUUAUAGAUAUUUUGUUAUAAUAAGUUUUUUUGA
rnacentral:tRNA from 1 species